rnacentral:rRNA from 1 species
UACGUAGGGGGCAAGCGUUGUCCGGAUUUAUUGGGCGUAAAGAGCGUGUAGGCGGCUUCACAGGUCCGCUGUGAAAACUCGAGGCUCAACCUCGAGAUGUCGGUGGAAACCGUGUGGCUAGAGUCCGGAAGAGGAGAGUGGAAUUCCCGGUGUAGCGGUGAAAUGCGCAGAUAUCGGGAAGAACACCCGUGGCGAAGGCGGCUCUCUGGGACGGUACUGACGCUGAGACGGCGAAAAGCGUGGGGAGCGAACAGG